GACGAACGUUGGCGGCGUGCUUAACACAUGCAAGUCGAACGGAAAGGCCCUGCUUUUGUGGGGUGCUCGAGUGGCGAACGGGUGAGUAACACGUGAGUAACCUGCCCUUGACUUUGGGAUAACUUCAGGAAACCGGGGCUAAUACCGGAUAGGAGCUCCUGCUGCAUGGUGGGGGUUGGAAAGUUUCGGCGGUUGGGGAUGGACUCGCGGCUUAUCAGCUUGUUGGUGGGGUAGUGGCUUACCAAGGCUUUGACGGGUAGCCGGCCUGAGAGGGUGACCGGCCACAUUGGGACUGAGAUACGGCCCAGACUCCUACGGGAGGCAGCAGUGGGGAAUAUUGCACAAUGGGCGGAAGCCUGAUGCAGCAACGCCGCGUGCGGGAUGACGGCCUUCGGGUUGUAAACCGCUUUCGCCUGUGACGAAGCGUGAGUGACGGUAAUGGGUAAAGAAGCACCGGCUAACUACGUGCCAGCAGCCGCGGUGAUACGUAGGGUGCGAGCGUUGUCCGGAUUUAUUGGGCGUAAAGGGCUCGUAGGUGGUUGAUCGCGUCGGAAGUGUAAUCUUGGGGCUUAACCCUGAGCGUGCUUUCGAUACGGGUUGACUUGAGGAAGGUAGGGGAAAAUGGAAUUCCUGGUGGAGCGGUGGAAUGCGCAGAUAUCAGGAGGAACACCAGUGGCGAAGGCGGUUCUCUGGGCCUUUCCUGACGCUGAGGAGCGAAAGCGUGGGGAGCGAACAGGCUUAGAUACCCUGGUAGUCCACGCUGUAAACGGUGGGUACUAGGUGUGGGGUCCAUUCCACGGGUUCCGUGCCGUAGCUAACGCUUUAAGUACCCCGCCUGGGGAGUACGGCCGCAAGGCUAAAACUCAAAGGAAUUGAUGGGGCCCCGCACAAGCGGCGGAGCAUGCGGAUUAAUUCGAUGCAACGCGUAGAACCUUACCUGGGUUUGACAUGGAUCGGGAGCGCUCAGAGAUGGGUGUGCCUCUUUUGGGGUCGGUUCACAGGUGGUGCAUGGCUGUCGUCAGCUCGUGUCGUGAGAUGUUGGGUUAAGUCCCGCAACGAGCGCAACCCUUGUUCACUGUUGCCAGCACGUUAUGGUGGGGACUCAGUGGAGACCGCCGGGGUCAACUCGGAGGAAGGUGGGGAUGACGUCAAGUCAUCAUGCCCCUUAUGUCCAGGGCUUCACGCAUGCUACAAUGGCUGGUACAGAGAGUGGCGAGCCUGCGAGGGUGAGCGAAUCUCGGAAAGCCGGUCUCAGUUCGGAUUGGGGUCUGCGACUCGACCUCAUGAAGUCGGAGUCGCUAGUAAUCGCAGAUCAGCAACGCUGCGGUGAGUACGUUCCCGGGGCU
rnacentral:rRNA from 1 species